rnacentral:rRNA from 1 species
AAAGGUUCCCUCAGAUUGGUUGGAAAUCAAUCGCAGAGUGUAAAGGUAUAAGGGAGCUUGACUGCGAGAGCUACAACUCGAGCAGGGACGAAAGUCGGGCUUAGUGAUCCGGUGGUACCGAAUGGAAGGGCCAUCGCUCAACGGAUAAAAGCUACCCUGGGGAUAACAGGCUUAUCUCCCCCAAGAGUUCACAUCGACGGGGAGGUUUGGCACCUCGAUGUCGG